CACGGGGGUUGCGAGCGUUGUCCGGAAUUACUAGGCGUAAAGGGCAGUCAGGCGGAUCUGCGAGUUUUUUGUUAAAGGCUACGGCUCAACCGUAGUAAGGCAGGAGAUACUGUAGAUCUGGAAUUUGGUAGAGGAAGACAGAAUUCCUGGUGUAGCGGUGGAAUGCGCAGAGAUCAGGAGGAAUACCGAAGGCGAAGGCAGUCUUCUGGGCCGAUAUUGACGCUUAACUGCGAAGGUGUGGGGAUCAAACAGGAUUAGAUACCCUGGUAGUCCACACAGUAAACGAUGAUCACUAGAUGUCGGGUUCGAUAGGGAUUCGGUAUCGUAGCAAACGCGGUAAGUGAUUCGCCUGGGGAGUACGAUCGCAAGGUUGAAACUCAAAGGAAUUGACGGGGGCCCGCACAAGCGGAGGAACAUGUGGUUUAAUUCGAUGAUACGCGAGGAACCUUACCCGGGCUUGAAAUGCAUUCGACUGGGUCGGAAACGGCCUUUCCCUUCGGGGCGGAUGCGUAGGUGCUGCAUGGUU
rnacentral:rRNA from 1 species